GGAUGGGUAGCUGGUCUGAGAGGACGAUCAGCCACAUUGGGACUGAGAUACGGCCCAGACUCCUACGGGAGGCAGCAGUGGGGAAUAUUGGACAAUGGACGAAAGUCCGAUCCAGCGACACCGCGUGGGGGAUGAAUGCCUUCGGGUUGUAAACCCCUUUUCUGGGGGAAGAAUAAGGUUGGGAGGAAAUGCCCAAUCGAUGACGGUACUCCAGGAAUAAGCAUCGGCAAACUUCGUGCCAGCAGCCGCGGUAAGACGAAGGAUGCAAGCGUUAUCCGGAAUUACUGGGCGUAAAGGGCGUCUAGGCGGUUGGAUAAGUCAUUUGUGAAAUCCCAGGGCUUAACCCUGGAAGGUCUUGUGAUACUGUCCAGCUUGGGUGUAGGAGAGGAGAGCGGAACUCACAGAGUAGCGGUGGAAUGCGUAGAUACUGUGAGGUACCCCGAUGGCGAAGGCAGCUCUCUGGCCUACUACCGACGCUGAAGCGCGAAAGCGUGGGGAGCAAAGGGGAUUAGAUACCCCCGUAGUCCACGCCCCAAACGAUGUUCACUUGGUGUCGGGAGCCUAUAUAUCUCGGUGCCGGAGCUAACGCGUUAAGUGAACCGCCUGAGGAGUACGGCCGCAAGGCUAAAACUCAAGAGAAUUGACGGGUCCCCGCACAAGCGGUGGAGCACGUGGUUUAAUUCGACGAUAAGCGAAGAACCUCACCUGGGCUUGACAUACUAGUGGUAGGAACCGGAAACGGUGACGACCCUGCCUUCGGGUGGGGAGCUAAUACAGGUGAUGCAUGGCUGUCGUCAGCUCGUGCCGUGGGAUGUAGGGUUAAGUCCCGAAACGAGCGCAACCCUUGUCGCUAGUUGCCAGCGGGUAAUGCCGGGGACUCUAGCGAGACUGCUGGUGAAUAGCCGGAGGAAGGCGGGGAUGACGUCAAGUCAUCAUGUCCCUUACGCCCAGGGCGACACACAUGCUACAAUGGGAGGUACAAAGGGUUGCGAAGCCGUAAGGUGGAGCUAAUCUCAAAAAACCUCCCCCAGUUCGGAUUGUGGUCUGCAACUCGACCACAUGAAGCCGGAAUCGCUAGUAAUCGUAGGUCAGCCAUACUACGGUGAAUAUGUACUCGGGGAUUGUACACACCGCCCGUCACACCAACCGAGUGGGGGGUACCUGAAGUCGCUCUUCUUAGGGCGCCUAAGGUAACCUUCGCAAGAGGGGUGAAGUCGUAACAAGGUA
rnacentral:rRNA from 1 species